GAUGAACGCUGGCGGCGUGCCUAAUACAUGCAAGUCGAGCGAACAGACGAGGAGCUUGCUCCUCUGACGUUAGCGGCGGACGGGUGAGUAACACGUGGAUAACCUACCUAUAAGACUGGGAUAACUUCGGGAAACCGGAGCUAAUACCGGAUAAUAUAUUGAACCGCAUGGUUCAAUAGUGAAAGACGGUUUUGCUGUCACUUAUAGAUGGAUCCGCGCCGCAUUAGCUAGUUGGUAAGGUAACGGCUUACCAAGGCAACGAUGCGUAGCCGACCUGAGAGGGUGAUCGGCCACACUGGAACUGAGAAACGGUCCAGACUCCUAAGGGAGGCAGCAGUAGGGAAUCUUCCGCAAUGGGCGAAAGCCUGACGGAGCAACGCCGCGUGAGUGAUGAAGGUCUUCGGAUCGUAAAACUCUGUUAUUAGGGAAGAACAAAUGUGUAAGUAACUAUGCACGUCUUGACGGUACCUAAUCAGAAAGCCACGGCUAACUACGUG
rnacentral:rRNA from 1 species